rnacentral:lncRNA from 1 species
UUGAAUUUUUUUUUUAUAAUUUCACAAUUUCCUUGUUCAUUUACAAAUAUAAACGUACACUUGUUAUGAACUAAUAACAAACAUCAAAUAACAAGCAAAUAUCAUAGAAUUCACCAUUGAAUUAGUAAUCCAAAUCAAAUAUAUAGAUAAAAAAAUAUAAUGGCCGUCGGUACAACUCAAAAAUUGUACAAGUACAUACAUGAAACUUAGAAUAAAACAUAAACUAAACUAACUACAACCCGUCGCCUGUCUCCAUGUCAUCGACUCGGCGGUCAUCACCCUGUAUUGUUGGAGGCUGCUCGUCAUCAACUCGAUGGUCAUCGCCUUGUACUAGAAGAGGCUGUUCGUCAUCAGCUCGGCGGUCAUCACCAGUGCCUCCAACUCCACCUCCACGAGUCUCGUCAAUUAGACCCUACAAAAUUAAAAUAUUAAUAACAAAGUCAAAAUGAAAACAUAUUUACAUUAUUUUAGUUUGUGUUCUUCAAGUUAGGUGUACGGAACUCGAACUCGGGCUUCGUAUAUCGGAAUCGAGUCCCGUCAGUUGUAACGCGUGUCUAUUGCCUAUGCGGUGCUAUUGCUUGUGUUUGCGUGUUGUUUGGACGACCGGGGCGAGUUUGGUCUCUUUUUCGACUAUUUUUCUAAGUUUUCUCAAAUUAGGCGGACGGGACUCGAACUCGGGCUCCGUAUAUCGGAAUCGAGUCCCGUCAGUUGUAACGCGUGUCUAUUGCCUAUGCGGUGCUAUUGCCUGUGUUUGCGUGUCAUUUGGACGAUCGAGACAGAUUUUGGUCUCUUUUUCGAUUAUUUUUCUAAGUUUUCUCAAGUUAGGCGGACGGGACUCGAACUCGGGCUCCGUAUAUCGGAAUCGAGUCCCGUCAGUUGUAACGCAUGUCUAUUGCCUAUGCGGUAUUAUUUCCUGUGUUUGCGUGUCGUUUGGAAGACCGAGACAGAUUUUGGUCUCUUUUUCGACUAUUUUUUUAAGUUUUCUCAAGUUAGGCGGACGAGACUCGAACUCGGGAUCCGUAUAUCGGAAUCGAGUUCCGUCAGUUAUAACGCAUGUCUAUUGCCUAUGCGGUGCUAUUGCCUGUGUUUGCGUGUCGUUUGGACAACCGGGGCAGAUUUUGGUCUCUUUUUCGACUAUUUUUCCAAAAUUUUUCAAGUUAGGCGGACGAGACUCAAACUCGGGCUCUGUAUAUCGGAAUCGAGUCCCGUCAGUUGUAACGCGUGUCUAUUACCUAUGCAGUGCUAUUGCCUGUGUUUGCAUGUUAACUAGUUAUUUGACAAUUUAUAUAAGCAAUAUAAUUACAAAUAAGGAAAUACAUCAAUAAUAAGUUUUACUUGUCGAAUAUGUGGAGGAAAGAUGUUGGCCAAGACAACUGCACAUAAACGGAUGGCCUCCUCCCGGACUACACCCAUGAGGUCGUCAACGACAGUUGCAGGAUCUAUGGAGCCGUGGACAACCUCCUGAGCAAGCUGGUAGAUCCGCUCGCGUGAUGGUGCGCCUGACUGCACGACACUGCUAGCCAUGCACCCCUCUGUGAUCCGCCUGAAGAAGUCGUCAGAUAAUGAAGGGCCGACACCUGAUCCACUCGCACCACUACCUCCGGUGGGUGGGCAAUGUCGAGAUCUCGCAGCAGGGACUAUAGUGUAGGCUGGGACACGGGGAAUGUCCACAACUCUGCCCUCCUUCGGCCCCCUGUAGCCUGCAGCGAGUCCUCCAUCUCCUCGUCCUCACGCUCAGCAUUAGCCACUGGAGUGUCACCUCUCUGGCUGCUCUGGACCACAGAAAGGUCCUCGAACCGUGUCUGAAAAAACACAGAAAUAGGUGAAAAGCAAGUAUUACACAAAAAAAUACAAAAGAAUUUCAAAGCCAUCAAAUACAUACUAAAUGAAAUAAUUAAAUUACUUACCGCAAUGCGCUCUGCCUCAAGUGAGAUAUAACCACCGUCACCUUUCUUCUGGUGAGCGUGCCACUAAAACUCAAGGCGGGAAGGUCGGUGCUUUAGACUCACCUCGAGUCUCUCCCUGUAGAGGUCGUACGACUGACUCCCAGUGCAGUGUAGGAGACGACUCUGCCGUCGAGCAACUGUACGUUGUGUCGACAUCUUCUUGAACGCCUCGCCCACCCAAAUAUCGCACAUCUACUCCUACAGCACAACACCAAUGAAAUCUGGUCGGACAUCCCUAAAUGACUGUCCAUCAGCCAUCUUGGUCUGAGCCUUCUUCUUCCAGUCGUAGACCCACUUGUGCCAUUUCAUCUCGAGAUACUUCCCAAGAACAGUGCUGUCGUGGGCUUCCUGCCCGUCCUCGAAGUGAUAAUAUCUCUGCAAUACAACAUAUGAAUAUCAGCAGUUACUUAAUAGAUAACAUAAAGCAAAGAGGUAAAUAAAUAUUCAAAAGCACAAAUUAAAACUAACAUAUGAAUGAAUGACUUCUUACCCUAAACUCAGCAAUAAUCAGCCCACGUGUGCGGUCUUCUACAUCCGCCCACCUCAUCCACGGGCUGGAGAAUCGGUUGCAGAUGAUCCCAAGCAACAUGUUCCUUGGCGUUGCGUCAAGGAUACUAAAAUUGAAAGUAUUAAAUUUCUAAAUUACAAAGAAUAUAUAAGAACUAAAUAAUUAAUACAAACAUAAUGUAUAUAUUACCUAGUAGUCCCGACCCGGCAUAUAAGCGGCGCCUGGGGGGGAUUCCCUAGCAAUCCACGUGCUAGUCCCCACGGAGGCCUACGUCGAUCACCUAUGUAGUAAAAUACAACAAUAUUUAUAUAAACGAAUAUAAUGUCAAUAUUAUAUAAAAUUAAAAAUAAUAAGAUGUAUAACAAUAAAACAUGUAAUUAUACCUGAUGAUCCGGCCUGAUCAUCACCAGCACUACCUCUACGGCCCCCACGACCUGAACUACCAGCACGCCCACCACGAUCGCUGUGUGGGUACGUGCCAUAUCUGUAUAUAUACUGUCAAAUCAUCAUCAAGAAGAUAAUAUGCGGAUACAACAUAAAUAUCAGAAUCGUCAUGCACAUACAACUAAAAGGAUACAAUAUGCAGAUAUAACUAAAAGGAAACAACUAUGACAUUUGAAUACAACUAAAAGGCUACAACAUGCAGAUAUAACUAAAAGGAGACAACUAUUACAUUAGAAUACAACUAAAAGGACAUAAAGAGUACAUACUCCUAAUCAUUUAUAUCAUUAAAGCCAUCAAUAUAAGAAUCGUCAUCUUCAAGCAGUAGAUCUUCACUAUCGUUGUCAUCACCAUCUUCGUCAUCCUCAACGAUUUCUUCAAUUAUAUCUACCUCCUCAACAACAUCGUCUUCACUUUCGACAGCGACAACAUCAUCCUCUUCUUCACUAGACUCACUAAUAAUUGUCACAUCAGCAGGUGUGACACUAGUAAACUCGACUUGUAAAGGUUCAUCGUCUGGAUGAGGAGUUGUGCCCUGAAAACCACGGGCUUUAGUGGUUAUAACAGCAUGCCAUGGGCUUGCAGGAGUCUUAACACUCCGCGCAUAGUACACCUGUGUUGCUUGACUUGCUAAACUAAAAGGCUCGUCCAUACCAAUCAUUAGUCUUAGUUUUGACUUAACGUUAACAGUCACCCGUCCUGAUUUUUUAUUUACUUUAACUCCAUUCUCAACAUCAAACCAAUGACAAUUGAAGCAAACUAAUUCUUUAUGACCCCAAUAUUUGAGAACGACAACUUCUAGCAAUCGUCCAUACCAGUCAUCCCAAAUGUUAUCGUAGCAGCUACCUUUCACCACAACACCAGAAUCAACAUAAAUGACUUCCCCAAUAUCACAACACUUAAAUCUGUAACCGUUGACAAUGCAUCAUGUAUAAGUAUCUACAGAUCUUUCAGGGUCGUCGGCUAUAAGCUUUAGCUGAUUGUCAGCUAACUCAUCUGUGAGGACCUAAUGUACAUUAACACAACAUAUUCUAAAGUUAAUUACGCCAUAAGAAUAAAUCUAUGAUGGUAGAUUCAUUGAACAUGUAAAGGUUAGACUUACAUGAUCUUUAAACCAUUGCACAAAUUGUCCAAUUCUCAAAUUUUGCAAAUCCCCAUCUGAUAUACUCGGAUUCGCUUCACGUACUUCAACAUUAUAUUGACUGCAACACAGUUAUAUACUUAAUGUGUUUGUAAAGGAACCUCUCCCAGUUACACUAGACAUAUAUAGUUAUGACUACUUACUUAAUGUAUGGCGCUACUUUAUUCAUGUUGACAAGUGCAUACAAUGUGGCAGCUGUAUAUUCACUAUCGCUCAAGAAUCGCCUUUUUUACCGCCGAAUGGAUGUAUAAGAUGAAUAAAGGCCGUUAAUUCUCCAUUUUCCUCAUACGCAACAGUCUCAUUCUGACGUAAGCUAUUGUGCUUCGUCUGAACAUUCGGCUCAAAAUACAACGAGCAGAAAUUAACAAGUUCCUCCAUAACAUAACUUUCAGCAAUUGACCCCUCUACACGGGCUCUAUUCUUCACCUUUUGCUUUAGACGUCGCAUAUACCUAUGUGAUAUAUAGAUUAGCAAACAAGAAUUCUAAGUUUACCGUAUUAAAAACAUUAAUGACAUUACCUCUCGAAUGGAUACAUCCAUCUAUAUUGCACGGGAUCGCUAAGCUUAGCUUCGUAUGGCAAGUGAAUAGGCAAAUGCUCCUUUUAAUCAAAAAAUGAUGGAGAUAAGAUCAUUUCUAACUUAUACAUUAUUUGCACUAACUGCCUCUCUAUUUUAUCUAUGUCUUUGAGCUAGAGCUCCGUCAAGCAUAGAUCUUUGAAGAAAUUAGAAAGCUCUGUCAGUGCUUCAACCACACGUUUCGGUAACAAGUCGAUAAAUGCCACAGGGAUCAACUUCUGCAUGAAUACGUGACAAUCAUGACUUUUGAGACCCAAAAACUUCAGCUCUUCGACUUUACAACACCUUGUUAUAUUCGAAGAAUUUCCAUCUGGAAGCUUCAGUCCACUGAUCCAAUUACAUAUCAAUAUCAACUGUUCCCUGGUCAAAGUAUAUUCAGCUUUAGGCGUUACCGUCUUACUACCCCCCUGAUUUGGCCACAGAUCUUCCCUAAUGUUCAUUUCUACAAAAUUAAGUCUCGACUUAUUGUUGUCCUUUGUUCUACCACUAGCAUCUAGGUCUGUAUAAAAAAUGUUAUCAACUACGUUCUUCUUAGUAUGCAUCGGAUCUAAAUAAUGACGGAUGUAGAGUGUAGCCCAAUAAGGCAGGUCAAAGAACAUGGAUCUGUGUGUCCAGUUGUGAACCUUGCCGUAACCAUAAGCUCGCUCCAAUCUGUGAUUCUUCCCUAGAGGUGGAAACUUCAAAUGACUAAUCCAACUCAACACUGCUGACCCAGAAAGACGGUCAGGUACUUGACGUUUCUCUGUUUUUCGAUUGAAUUGUCUACUCAUCCGUCGAUAACGAUGUUCAAUCGGCAAAAACUGUCUGGAUGUUGCAAAGAAACUCAUUUUCCCCCCAUGUUUGAGCCGCAUAGCUUUAACUGACCCCAUGCACACGGGACAUGACAAGCCCCUGUGAGUCGACCAUCCACUGAUCAUUCCUAACGCCGGGAAGUCAUUUAUUGUCCAUAGUAAAGUUGCCCUCAUGUCAAAGUUCUGCUUAAGAGAUACAUCAUAAGUUUGAACCCCUUUUUCCCACAUCAUCUUCAACUCAUCAACUAACGGCCUGAGGUAUACAUUGAUGUAUUUACUCGGACUCUUAUCACUCGGAAUCAGUAAAGGCAUGAACAUGUAGGGAUCUUUCAUGCACAUCGAAGGCGGGAGGUUAUACACCACAAUAAUCAUCGGCCAAGUUGAGUAGGGCUUUAUGUAAGGCCCGUUAAACGGAUUAAACCCAUCCGUAGCAAGUCCAAGCGUAACCUUGCGAACCUCUUCAGCAAACGAGGGGUGCUUGUUAUCAAAAUUUUUCCACUCAAGCCCAUCUGCCGGAUGCGUCAGUUGACCUUCGACUAUGUCCCGUGUAGAGUGCCACCUCAUAUCCUCGGCGGUAUGUGUUGACAUGAACAACCGCUAAAGCGUCGAGGCAAUGGGAAUGUAACGUAAGAUCUUUCUCGGCACGUCUUUUCCCUUUUUCUUGCGCUGUUCACAAUAUCUACUUGUACCACAAAUAUGACAUGACCUCUUAUCUUUAUUGACAUCACCGUAAUACAACAUAUAAUCAUUCUCACAAGCAUCAAUCUUCUCAUACUCUAGAUUGAGCCUUUUGACCAUUUUCUUCACAUCAUAGUACGCCUCCGGUAAUUUAUUGCCUGCAGGUAAGCACUCCUUCACAAUGCUUAACAGUUCAUUAAAACCUCUCUCGCUACAGUCAUGCUCGUUCUUGAAGUGUAAAAACUUAGUCACGACAGAUAAGACGGUGUGCUUUUCGUACCCGUCAUACAGUGGCGUCGCUGCUUCAUGCAAUAACUCAUAGAAACCCUUAGCCCCAUCAUUCGGCUCUUGCUCGACGCUAUUGCCAUCCCUGUCUGUAUUCCAUUGGAAGUAUGAACCAGCAGCUUCGACUAUCAUGUUAGUAUAGUCAAAGGUUUCGUCACCUCUGGAUUCCGGUUCUGAUUCAUGUUCAUCCAACCAGGUUUCCCCAUGAUAGAUCCAUGUCGUAUAACCCUGCUUGAACCCAUACGCAAAUAAGUCGCACAUGACAUCACUCCUUUCCUUCCACACUUCAUUCACACACCUCUUACAAGGACAUCUGAUCUCAUCACCGCUGACUUGCUCAAACGCGAAGUUGAGAAACUGUUCAACCCCAUUACGAUACUCAGAGAUAAGCCCACUCUUAUCAGUGGCUACCCUACGUUCCAUCCAAUUUUGAUCAACAGACAUCUCGGACAACUGUCUGCUAUAUAUAUGGAAAGUUAGAAAAACACAAUAAAGUCUCCAAGUUAAUGUAUAUGCAAGUUUAUGAGUUUCCCAACUUCAUCUCCCACUGUAACGGGUCAAGCUUCUAUCCCAUUCCCGGAUGUGUCGCCUCACUGAUGAUGCCAACAACUUGAACACGUCUUUAAAUUUUUCAGAAAUUUCGACAGCACCUCCCCAUGGUCUUCAAGUACACGAAAUAGACUAACACAUCAUAAUCUAAAUAUGUACCCAAAUAACAUCAAGAUAUAUAUAUUGACCGAAAAUUCAAAAAAUAUAAAGACGUGCUCAAGUCGUUAACACCGAUCUAAGUGAGAUUAAAACAUACAAGAACAGUCCCAAAACGGGGAUUAUUUGAGAUUCAUUCCUACUAAGUGAAUCUCAAACGAGUUUCUAAGCUUCCUAAACUAUAUGAAAAUAUGCACAUAUGAAAGUAUAAUGAGCUGGUAAAUUUCUUAACCCACCCUCAAAUAGGAAAAAAAACAAAUAAAUAUUGUUUUUGAAUAUGCUUGCAUAAUGGACCAUCUAUAUAUUACAUGUUACAUAUAAAUCAAUUAAACUCAAAUCAAAUCUAUCCACAACAAACUAAUAUGAGGUUCAAAACAAAGUAAUCAGUUUAGCCAAAACCAUAUAGAGGGCAUGCUUUGGUGCUUGAGCAUUCCACAAACUUGAUUGAAAAUCUAUGUAAGAUUUGAGAACUUACCUUUCCCGUAAAGGUAAUUCACUGACCCAAGCUCAUGGUUUACUUUUAAGUUUUGAACCUCUUUAAUUAUGCUAGUGAGGAACAAUAAACUUUUAACAAUAUAUAUAGGAGGAUCAAAACAAAGUAAUCAGUUUAGCCAAAACAAUUAAGUAAUUAUUUUUCUUUUUUUUGUUGCUAAUUCUAGGCAAAGUAGUAUGUAAUUUAAACUCACACUUACUACUUUGCCACUGCUAAAGUUUGAACUUCUACCCACAAGGGGUGGGGAUAACUCACACUUAUUAUCAAUUUUUUAUUGUAAACAAUGGUUCUUACCCACACAGUCUUUAAAAAGGAGAAACAAUAAAAACUCAUUUGGAAUCAAACAAAAACACACAUGUAGGCAGGGAUAAUCGGUUUAAAUAAGAAAUCAACAAUUCGUCCAAUUCUCUCUCCUCUAGGCACAUUUGAAGAUGAUGGUGGACUAGUGUGACGCCCCCAAAAUAGGUAUACAACACCCAUUCUGAGUCGCCAAAUACAUGGUACAGAAACAACUAUAACUUUAUUAAUACAAUUAUCGUGCAAAAUACGACAACACAUAAACUGUGAGUUUAAAUACAAAUAUUGUCAUCUAUACAAUAUCCACACUCAAAUAAGUCCUCAUUACAAUUAUUGAUACACUAUUUUACAAAAUGGUGAGGACUAAUAAAACAACUUCUAGAACCAUCAUUCCAUACCCUGACUAGUACUCGCUACAUUCUCGCCUCCUGAGAAGAAAAAUGGAACAAAAAAAAGGGUGAGCUCAACUAGCCCAGUAAAGAAUAUUAUGACUAAGAUAAUAUAGAACAAAUUAUCGUUAGUAUUCAACAGAAAAAAAUUUGAUAGAAUAUAAUAGACAACAAGUUUCAGAUCAAUAUUCGUAGCGGAAAUAAUAAUUCAUAGAAGAGUUACGUAGAGAAUGAAAUCUACUAUUAUCUAUGAAUUUAAAAGUCCAUCAUCAAUAUUUUAUCCCUGCAACAUCAAUCAAUAUACAUCAUAGAUCAAAUAUUCAUCUUUGAACUACAGGCCAAAGAUAUUCAUCAGUUGAUCAUGUUCAUCUCAACACCUGUACAUCUUUGCACUACGGCCAAAGAUAUUCAUAAGAAAAUCAACCAUCUUUGCACUACAAGCCAAAUAUAUUCAGUAAUAUCAUCAUUUAGGACUGAGGAUGAUGAAAAAUAUUUUAAAGAAAACGAAUCGAGUAAAACAAAAGAACAAAUAUUAAGGAUUCGUACUUUAAACAAUCCGAGUUCAAAAAUACUUCAUAAAUAAUCAUCGUGGAACAAAAUUCAAGAAUGAUCAAAACAUGGAUACAAUCAAAGCUAGUAUCCAUAAUAGAUAUUUUGGACAAAAAAUGAAAAUUUAAUUUUUCUGCGAAUAGUGUCGUAUUCGUGAAUAGUGCCGUAUACGUGAAUAGUAACCCUGACACUAAAAGACAAGAAAUUCACAAGAAAAAUCUUACCAAUAUUCCGGCAUAAUGAUAUUAGAAGAAAUAAUAUCAUUUAAAAAAAAAUAACAUCCCUUACCUCGAAAAGACAGUACUUCUGACUAGAAUACUGGAUAUAUUACUGAAGGGAACUUGUACCGUAUAGCAACACUCAAAGUAUCAAAAUACUCACAAGAAUACACUCGAUAAUAUAGAGAGAGAAAGAGAGAGAACACUAGUUUCUGGUGUGAUUUUCAAUUCUAACCUAAGCACCCUAUUUAUAGAAAAAUGCUUAGAACACCAAAGCAGAAAAUUUAAUAAAAUAUUAAUAUAUUUAUUAUAAAUUCCUACGCACACCAAAGACAUCUGAUUUCAUCCAUUAACAUGUGCAAGUGGGGCCCACCCAAGUGUAAAAAACGUUUUUCUUAAAUAAAACAAUUAAAUCUUUCAAAAAUCAAUUAUUCCGAAACUUUGGAACUUCAAUAAUUCAUAACAAAUAGCCCUUUUAUCAGAAAUAUUCGAAUCUUAUGUCCAUUCCAUAGAAAAUUCAAUUCUCUACAACUUUGUAAGUUUAAGUUUUUCCAAAUUCCAAACAGAAAUUGACCGAAAUCCACAUACGGACGAUUUUACAAGCUAUAAUCAAAUUUCAGUCAAGAAAUGGGGUCCACAAACAUGAAAAACAUAUUUUAAAUAUUUUUAGUAACAAAAAUACUCUUCCUUCUCAUUUAUUCAUAUAUCCCACAUUCAUUGUAAAAAUAUCACCAUUAUUAUAUUAUUAAAAUAUAAUAAUAUAUUUAAAUGAAUUAUUUUAUCAGAAAAGAUAAAAUAUCAAUUUUUUAACAAUUGUCACUUUAAAAUUUUCUCCAUCUAUAUCCACAUAAAAUGAAUAUUUUCCUUAUCAUAUAAAUCAAUAAUUAAUUAUUCACAAAUAAUAUUACAGAAUCACAAUAUUGACAACCAGGCCGUUCCCAGGAAAGAGGGGGCUUUCCAAUAAGAAUUUCUCCUUACUGGCGCGCAAUUAGGUGACCAAACCUCUCCUUAGACAGAACUUUCUAGACAUUGCCAAUAAUGUUAUCUAAUAAUAUUAUUCAGAUAAUAUGAAUUAUUGCUUCGAUAAUGAAAAAUACUGUGUAAUGACAAUUAUUGAAACAACAGCAAUAUAAAAUAUCAACGCAACAAUUAUUGAAUCAAUAAAAUAAAAUACUGAACAGUAAUUACUGUAACCAUUAUUGAGUAGUGCCUUCUUACGUAAGAAUCAAUAAUUGGUGCAAUACCGUGUGCUACUGUGCAACAACGCGUAUUACUGUGUUUUAACCACCGGGUAUUCCAACAGUAUUAACGGUAACAAUUAUGUCGUUAUUUAUAAACAACUUAUACUUGUCGUUUUCUUCAUCCAAUCACUUUUCGUUAUGGGGCCCACACAAGGCUGCGGCGUCGUACGAAUAUUCCUCGACAGCAAGAAUAUUCCACGACCAAACGAAUAUUCUCCGACAACAAUGAAUAUUUUAUAACCACUUGCUUAUUUGAAAUAUUUACGCAUUUUACCCAUAACUAAUCACAUUAAUCAAAUCGACCCUUACUAUUUCAAAAUAAUAAAUAGAGAAAAUUCAAUUUCAUUUAUAACAAAUUUGGGGUCUUACAACCUCCCCUCCUUAUGAAAUUUUGUCCUCGAAAUUGACGUACGUACCUAGUGUUUCGAAAAAGUGAGGAUACCUCACUUUCAUUUCCGUUUCUAACUCCCAUGUCAUUUCCUCAAUAGCAUGGUUCCUCCACAAAACUUUGACUUGUGGUAUGACCUUUGUGUGUAGGACAUGCUCCUUCUUAUCUAAGAUCUUGACAGGUACUUCUUCAUACGUUAAGUCUUCGGCUAUCUCGUCCGGUUCUAACUCAAUAACGUGGUUCGGGUCUUUCACAUAUUUACGAAGCACAGAUAUGUGAAAAACAUUAUGAACACGAGACAUACUUGGAGGUAACACGAGUCUAUAGGCCACAUUUCCAACUCGGUCAAGAAUCUGAAAUGGACCAAUAAAUCAUGGAUUGAGCUUUCCUCUCUUCCCAAAUCUUGUAACUCCCUUCCAUGGAGCAACACGCAACAAUACAUGAUCCCCAAUACUAAAUUCCACGUCCUUUCGAUGAAGAUCCGCAUAACUCUUUUGUCGAUCCCGUGCCAUUUGUAUACGUUGUCGAAUCAUUUGGAUCUUUUCCGUAGUCAUACGUACCAACUCUGGUCCCAACAAUGUUGCUUCACCCACCUCAUCCCAACAUACUGGAGAGCGACACUUUCGUCCAUACAACGCUUCAAAUGGGGCCACACCUAUACUUGUCUAAUAACUGUUGUUGUAGGAGAAUUCCACCAAUGGUAAAUACAUAUCCCAACUCCCUUUGAAGUCUAGGACACAGAGUCUUAAUAGAUCUUCAAGAGUUUGAAUAGUCCUCUCUGAUUGUCCGUCCGUUUGAGGAUGGUAUGCCGAACUAAAUCGCAAAUCCGUGCCCAUAGUUUUUUGCAAGCUAACCCAAAAUUGUGAAGUGAAUCUUAGGUCACGAUCCGAAACUAUGGAUACUGGCAUGCCAUGCAAUCUCACAAUCUCAUUUACGUACAUACGAGCAAGACGUUCAAAAGAAUAAGUCUCCCGUAUCGACAAGAAAUAAGCAGACUUGGUUAAUCUAUCAACAAUAACCCAAAUAACAUCUAUGCCUUGAGAAACUGUGGGAAGACCCGUAACGAAAUCCAUGGUAAUGUGUUCCCACUUCCAUUUCAGAAUCUCAAGUGGUUGCAAUGGACCCUUAGGCACUUGAUGCUCUGCCUUUACACGUUGACAAGUUAAACACCUCGAAAUAAACUUUGCAAUAUCUCUCUUCAUAUUGUUCCACCAAAAUGUAUGUCGAAGAUCAUGAUACAUUUUGGUACUUCCAGGAUGGAUUGCAAAUGGUGUAUUGUGUGCCUCCAUCAUGAUCUUGUAUUUCAAAUCAGAGUCGUUAGGAACACAAGUCUGGAGUGGACUCGAAGUAUUCCUUCUUCAUCGAUUCUUGCUUCUGGAAUAACACCUUCUUGUACUAUCUUCUUCAUACGCAUCAGCUCUGGGUCUGUGGCUUGAGCAACUUUAACUUUAUCGAUUAAAGUCAGUUCUAAGCGUAUACUUGACAUCAUCGCAUGAGUCCCCGGAGUCUUGAAUUCUAUCUUCAUCUUUUGUAAAUCACACAAAAUAGGCCUUUGUGUUAACAACAUCGCACUCGUUCCAGCAUAUGAUCUUCUACUCAACGCGUCAGCUACCACGCUUGCUUUUCGAGGAUGGUAUUGAAUAGUGUGGUCGUAAUCUUUCAACAGCUCGAGCCAACGCCGUUGCCGCAUGUUGAGUUCCUUUUGAGUGAAGAAAUAUUUGAGGUUUUUAUGAUCUGAAUAUAUCUCCAUUUUCUCCCCAUAUAGAUAGUGCCUCCAGAUCUUUAGCGCAAAAACGACUGUCGCCAACUCUAGAUCAUGAGUAGGAUAAUUCCUCUCAUAUUCUUUAAGUUGUCGCGAGGCAUAGGCUAUGACUUUCUCAUGUUGCAUGAGAACACAUCCUAACCCUUUGCCUGAAGCAUCGCUGUAGAUAAUAAAUCCAUCCGAAUCAGACGGUAUUGUCAGAACAGGUGCCAAAAUGAGUCUCCUCUUAAGCUCUUGAAAACUCUUCUCAUAUUCCUCGCUCCAUACGAAUUUUGUAUCGUUCCGAGUUAGCUGAGUUAACGGAGUAGAGAUUCGAAAAAAUCCUUCCACGAAUUUUCGAUAAUAACCAGCUAAGCCUAGAAAGGUACGUACUUCGGUCACCGACUUCGGUUGCUCCCAACUUUGUAUUGCUUCAAUCUUUGCUGGGUUAACAAAUACUCCAUGUUUUGACACCACGUGCCCAAGGAAUUCUACUUCCUCAACCCAGUACUCGCAUUUCUUCAACUUAGCAUAAAGCUUGUUUUCACGAAGCCUUUGGAGUACUAGCUUCAAAUGGCGCUCAUGAUCUUCACGGCUUUUGGAAUAUAUGAGGAUGUCAUCAAUAAAGACAACAACGAACUGAUCCAAAUAUUCCUUGAAUAUUCGGUUCAUUAUAUCCAUGAAAGCCACAGGAGCAUUAGUUAAUCCAAAAGACAUGACUAAGAAUUCAUAAUGCCCGUACCGAGUUCUGAAGGCAGUCUUUGGAAUAUCCUCAGUUCUAAUCUUCAGCUGAUGAUAUCCAGAAUGAAGAUCGAUCUUUGAAAAGAAUUGUGCUCCUUGUAACUAGUCAAACAUGUCAUCAAUACGAGGUAGCGGAUACCUAUUCUUAAUAUUGACAUGAUUUAAUUCUCGAUAGUCAAUACAAAGUCGCAUACUUUCGUCUUUCUUCUUUACAAAUAAAACAGGAGCACCCCAAGGAGAUAUACUAGGACGAAUGAAACCGAUGUCCAACAACUCCUGUAGUUGGACUUUUAACUCCUGAAGUUCAAUAGGAGCCAUUCGAUAUGAGGUUUUAGAAAUGGGCUUUGUACCAGGUUCAAGAUCAAUAAAAAAAUUCAACUUUACGUUCUGGGGAUAGACUGGGAAGUUCUUCAGGAAAUACGUCAGAAAAUUUACUAACAACAAGAAUAUUAUUCAAAUCUGACGUGUCUUUAUUCAAAUCCAUAACAUGGGCUAAGAAAGCUUGACAUCCGUUUUUCAAUAAACGAAUAGCUUUAUGACUUGAUAUGACAGUGAUUGAUUUUAGUGGUUUAGUUGCUUGAAUUCGUACAACAGGUUGGUUAGGAUUAUGAAAACUAACAACCUUACGAAAACAAUCAAUUUUGGCAUGAUGAGUAGUUAACCAAUUAAUCCCUAAAAUCACAUCAAAAUCAAGUAUCUUUAAAGAGACAAUGUCAACAGGUAAUGUGAUGGUGCCAACUUGGAUCAAACAAAAUUUAUAAACAGUGAAAGUGAUGAAAGUUUCUCCUAAUGGAGUCUCCAUAGAUAAAUCAAAGUCUAAUUUCUCUGGAGUCAAGUUUAAACGUUGAGCACAAGCAGGAGAGAUAAAUGAAUGGGUAGCACCGGUAUCUAGUAAGGUAUAAACUUCGCAAGAAUUUAUGAUUAACUUACCCGUGAUCACCUCGUUUGGGUUCCUCGCAUUUUGACCAGUCACGACAAACUCUCUUCCAAGAACCGUUGACUUUGACUUUUUUGGGACAGCCUUUUGAGUCACCAUCCCCGCUGGACUUGGUUUCGCUACAGUACAAUCUCGAGCGAUAUGUCCUUCUUUUCCACAAUUAUAACAUACCUUGAACUGUUAUGGGCUGUUUGGGCUGAUAUGUCCCUCUUUUCCACAUUUAUAACAUACGACCGAUGGUCGUUCUCCUCCCUUAGAACCAGUUGCUGCUGGUGCUGACGUCUUUGCAUUGUCAUUGUUGAAUCUCCUCUUUUUAAAAUCUCCUCUCGACUCGUUUCUUCUAUUUUCAUGACCAUGAUUACCACCAGAGUGGUUACCGCUUUUGUCCGUAUUUUUCUUUCUCCACUGGUUAUCGUUGUUCUGAUGACUGCUGUCACCGGUAUGAUCCUAGUUGUGGUCCCUCGGUUGAACGUACUCGUUAUCUCGCUCUAAUAAUUGAGCCCUGUUGACAACAUCUGAAUAGAGAGAAAAUUUAUGAGAAAUGAGAUAUUGACGUAUGCCGGGUUUUAAACCUCUGAGAAACAUCUGCAUCAUACAUUCUUCAUUCUCCACCAAAUGAGGUGCAAACCUGGAUAACUCUAAAAACUUCGCCUCGUACUGGGACACCGUCAUGUUGUUUUGUUCUAGUCUAAUAAACUUCACUUCCUUCAUAUAACGAAUACUUUCAGGAAAGUACUUGUCAUUGAACAGUUUCUGAAACAUCUCCCAAGACAUGCUGAGUGCGGCUGGAUGGAUAUGCUUCACAGAUUUCCACCAGUAAUUUGCCUUAUUACGGAACAUAAAGGUGGCGAAUGGAACCUUCUGUUCUUCUGUGCAUCCCAAGACGUUAAAUAUAUUGAUAAUUUGCUUGACCCACGUCUCUGCCUUAAUCGGAUCCGGCUUUCCCCAGAAUUCUGGUAGUCCCAACUCUUUGAACUGCUUGGCUGUGACAAACCGUGCGUUGUUAUCAUUUCCACCUGUAUUUUGUACACGAGUCUCCCUCGUCUAAUUUUACAUGAACUGCAAAAAGCUUCUAAACAUCCCGUCGUUCAUCGUCUGUUCAGUGGUGUUGUUUACAGGAGGAACAUUGUCAGCCUGCUGCUCGUUCUCCUCAUUGGUGAGAAAAGGAGUCUCCGCGGUCUCAUUUACUCCACUGUUAACAUUCUCAGUCGCCAUUCUCAAAUACUGCCAUAAAACAAGGGUUAAUUAAAGAAAUCAACAUAUCACAUAAUAUCCCUAUAUACUGACCAACCAACAAAUAAGCUUAGGUAAGACACACUAGCGAAGGAUUUACUCGUCUCUCCCCUCCUAGUUCUAUUCCCCGAUCUCCGCCAGAGAUCAUAUUCCUAAGCUCUGAUACCAACUGUGACGCCCCCAAAAUAGGUAUACAACACCCAUUCUGAGUCGCCAAAUACAUGGUACAAAAACAACUACAAUUUUAUUAAUACAAUUGUCAUGCAAAAUACGACAACACAUAAACUGUGAGUUUAAAUACAAAUAUUGUCAUCUAUACAAUAUCCACACUCAAAUAAGUUCUCAUUACAAUUAUUGAUACACUAUUUUACAAAAUAGUGAGAACUAAUAAAACAACUUCUAGAACCAUCAUUCCAUAUCCCGACUAGUACUCGCUACAUUCUCGCCUCCUGAGAAGAAAAAUGGAACAAAAAAAGGGUGAGCUCAACUAGCCCAGUAAAAAAUAUUAUGACUAAGAUAAUAUAGAACAAAUUAUUGUUAGUCUUCAACAGGAAAAAAUCUGAUAGAAUAUAAUAGACAACAAAUUUCAGAUCAAUAUUCGCAGCGGAAAUAAUAAUUCAUAGAAGAGUUACGUAGAGAAUGAAAUCUACUAUUAUCUAUGAAUUUAAAAGUCCAUCAUCAAUAUUUUUUUCCUGCAACAUUAAUCAAUAUACAUCAUAGAUCAAAUAUUCAUCUUUGCACUACAGGCCAAAUAUAUUCAUCAGUUGGUUAUGUUCAUCUCAACACCUGUACAUGUUUGCACUACGGCCAAAGAUAUUCAUAAGAAAAUCAACCAUCUUUGCACUAUAGGCCAAAGAUAUUCAGUAAUAUUAUCAUUUAGGACUGAGGAUGAUGAAAAAUAUUUUAAAAAAAACGAAUCUAGUGAAACAAAAGAACAAAUAUUAAGGAUUCGUACUUUAAACAAUCCGAGUUCAAAAAUACUUCAUAAAUAAUCAUAGUGGAGCAAAAUUCAAGAAUGAUCAAAACAUGGAUACAAGCAAAACUAGUAUCCAUAAUAGAUAUUUUGGACAAAAAAUAAAAAUUAAUUUUUCUAUGAAUAGUGUCGUAUUCGUGAAUAGUGCCAUAUACGUGAAUAGUGCCGUAUACGUGAAUAGUAACCCCGACACUAAAAGACAAGAAAUUCAAAAGAAAAAUCUUACCAAUAUUCCAACAUAAUGAUAUUAGAAGAAAUAAUAUCAUUUUAAAAAAAAUAACAUCCCCUACUUCGAAAAGACAGUACUUCUGACUGGAAUACUGAAUAUAUUACUGAAGAAAACUUGAACCGUAUAGCAACACUCAAAGUAUCAAAAUACUCACAAGAAUACGCUCGAUAAUAUAGAGAGAGAAAGAGAGAGAAAACUUAUUUCUGGUGUGAUUUUCAAUUCUAACCUAAGCACCCUAUUUAUAGGAAAACGCUUUGAAUACCAAAGCAGAAAAUUUAAUAAAAUAUUAAUAUAUUUAUUAUAAAUUCCUACGCACACCAAAGACAUCUGAUUUCAGCCAUUAACAUGUGCAAGUGGGGCCCACCCAAGUGUAAAAAAUAUUUUUCUUAAAUAAAACAAUUAAAACUUUCAAAAAUCAAUUAUUCCGAAACUUUGGAGCUUCAAUAAUUCAUAACAAAUAGCCAUUUUAUCAGAAAAAUUUGAAUCUUAUGUCCAUUCCAUAGGAAAUUCAAUUCUCUACAACUUUGUAAGUAUAAGUUUUUCCAAAUUCCAAACAGAAAUUGACCAAAAUUCACAUACGGACGAUUUUACAGGCUAUAAUCAAAUUUCAGUCAAGAAAUGGGGUCCACAAACAUGAAAAACAUGUUUUAAAUAUUUUUAGUAACAAAAAUACUCUUCCUCCUCAUUUAUUCAUAUAUCCCACAUUCAUUGUAAAAAUAUCACCAUUAUUAUAUUAUUAAAAUAUAAUAAUAUAUUUAAAUGAAUUAUUUUAUCAGAAAAGAUAAAAUAUCAUUUUUUUAACAAUUGUCACUUUAAAAUUUUCUUCAUCGAUAUCUACAUAAAAUGAAUAUUUUCCUUAUCAUAUAAAUCAAUAAUUAAUUAUUCACAAAUAAUAUUACAGAAUCACAAUAUCGACAACCAGGCCAUUCCCAGAAAAGAGGAAGUUUUUCAAUAAGGAUUUCUCCUUACUAGCGCACAAUUAGGUGACCAAACCUUUCUUUAGACAGAACUUUUUAGACAUUGUCAAUAAUGCUAUCUAAUAAUAUUAUUCAAAUAAUAUGAAUUAUUGAUUUGAUAAUGAAAAAUACUGUGUAGUGACAAUUAUUGAAACAAUAAUAUAAAAUAUCAACGUAGCAAUUAUUGAAUCAAUAAAAUAAAAUAUUGAACAGUAAUUACUGUAAUAAUUAUUGAGUAGUGCCUUCUUACGUAAGAAUCAAUAAUUGGUGCAAUACCGUGUGCUACUGUGUUUUAACCACCGGGUAUUCCAACAGUAUUAACGAUAACAACUACGCCGUUAUUUAUAAACAACUUAUACUUGUCUUUUUCUUCAUCCAAUCACUUUCCGUUAUGGGGCCCACACAAGGCUGCGGCGUCGUACGAAUAUUCCUCGACAGCAAGAAUAUUCCACGACCAAACGAAUAUUCCCCGACAACAAUGAAUAUUUUAUAACCACUUGCUUAUUUGAAAUAUUUACGUAUUUUACCCAUAACUAACCACAUUAAUCAAAUCAACCCUUACUAUUUCAAAAUAAUAAAUAGAGAAAAUACAAUUUCAUUUAUAAUAAAUUUGGGGUCUUACAACUAGGACUAUAUAGGACUACGCCUAUUUGUAACCGAAUUCAACCUACAUGAAAUAGCUGGAAAGGGUUUAUGCUCCGAAUUAUGAUGGGACUGAGACUGCGAAAACCUCUCAGGUGAGGAAACAUCACUCAACCUAUUGCUCUUUGAUGAAGUAGGAGAGCCUUCUAAAUCUUCAGACUGGUUGGACAUGAUAUGAAGUUUCUUUAGAAGGUUCUUCAUAUUAUUUGUGCUAAGCUAUACAAGUCAAUGCUAGCGGAAAAAAAAUCUAGCCAUAAAACUCUCCAUUGUCUUGGACCAAACAUGAGAGCAGUGACAAAACCACAAGUACAAUGAUAGAUUUCAAGCCAACCCAGAAAGGCAGUUUAGGUCAACAACAAGAAACAUAAACCCAUCAAACAUAAACUUUUUAGUUUGAUGAUCAUUUACAAGAAACAAACACAAUUAUGUCUUAAAACUUAAAAGAUAUGGAACAAAAUGAUCAUUAAGAUUCAACUAUACAAUAAUUUUCUCCAUCUUUAACACAUAUUUUGGAAGUCGGAGUUUCUUGUGGUUUACAAUUUCCGUUAUAUCUACGGGAUCAUUAUAAAACCUUUGUUUAAAUUUGGUGUAUAAAAGUAAUAGUUUGGAGAACUUAGCGAAAUUCAACUCGAAUACUAUAGGCCUCAGCAGCUGGUAUAGUCAAAAAAAUAUUAUGUUUUGCGGGACAUAUUGACGACGGCUAAGCCGUCGAUAAUGACAUUAUUCUCGACGACAGUAUUCCCGAUGCUAAUGAGGCCGUCGUCAAUGACCAUAUAUUUGAAUUCACCACCACCGCGUUUCCAAACAUAUGUUCAUUUAUGAAUGCCACCUUGUGCUCCCUCAAUUUUUUGGUUGGACGCCCUUUCCGUCCAUUGUUAUUGACUAAACUCUUUAGCGACUCUGUAACUACCUAUGAAGAAAAAUAAUUCAAUUUAUUUGCUUGCUAGGGUGACUAAUAAUUUAUCUUGUACAAUACGAUUGGUUGUGGGUAGUCCAAAUAUCAGGUUGUGGCUAGUACAAAUAUCUAUAUUGUGGUUCUCUAUCAUUUGCAAGUAUUUCAAAGCUUGAAGGCAGGAUUGUGGGCCUGUAUUUUUAAGAAGAAUCAUACUAUGGCAUUGAACGAAACAGAAAACUUAAAGAGGAUAUAGGAAUUGUUGGAAUGUAGGCCAGAUAUAGAUUUUGAGAUUGUGCUAAACAGAGUCUCACUUUGAAUCAAUCCUAUACAAAGGCUGAAUUCAAGCAAGAGUUCGGGAAUUUGUUAGGAAGUGGUAGUUCUCAAAAUUUCAGCGCUUAGCCGAACUGAUGUUCCCAUGGGGCAGGUUAUUUGAUUAUUCUUGAGCCUGAUCGAUCUCUAAAUUACUUUGCUUUUGACAUCUACAAUGUUUUGGGACUUGAUGCAUAUCCUUUUAACUUGGAAAAUUAUGUGAAAUUCAUGACGAACAAUCUAGAGAGAACCCUGGUGUUGGAUAAACUUCUAUGACCUUAUGCUCCUUUGCGCAGAGGAUGUAAUACCUGCAGAAUAUUCUAGUUGCAUAAGAUGUUCUACCUGCCAGCGGGAAGGUAUGCUUGUUCUCAUGAUGAGCCCUAGUUAGCGUGUAUGCUAUUAUUUUGUGUCAUUCUAUGGUUAAUUUUGGGUUUUUUUGUGUUUAAUUUUGCCUUGCUUUGUAAGCAAAGUAAGUAAAGGACCUGUAAAUGUGUUUCUGAAAUUUUCAAUCCCUCUCCCAUGGUGAUAUUGUGGUCUUAGAUAUUUUAGGGAAGUAUGUUCUUUUAUUGUUUGCAACACAUUCUUCCUAUGCAUCUAGAAUUUUUUGCGAGAAAUUAAGAAAAUUUAUUCUGCACUGCUAGAGGCAGAUAACUGCUUUGAGAGUAUUUACAUCUCCUUGGAUUGCGAUAAUCCCUAUCUUCCUUCCCCAAUUGCAUCCAUGAAAUGUCAUGGUUGGUCUCCACUCUUUUGUCCUGAAUUUUUCUGCUUCUGUGCUCGAAAAGGUGUUCCUGUUUGAAUAUCCUAAUACACCCCUUCCUGCCAUUGCAGCCUUUGGGCCAAGUGGACAACUUUAAGUAAAAGAAUCCAACUUAGCUAUCAAAGAAAAAUGGCGUUCCAACUAUCUGUUCAUCGACUCAUAUUCAUGUGAAGAAGAGGUUCACAGGGAAUUUGUCAAUGGCUACAAAUGGAACAUGGGACUUAUUUUCCCUGUUAUCUCCUCCAGAAAGUAGAUUUGCACUUGAUGUGAUGGAUGAAUUACUCAAUGGUUUAGAUAUGUUGUUUGAGCAAGAUUGUGUUUUAAGUUUUAUGUUUGGUAAGCAACAAAGCUAAUAAUAGUAGUGGGCAGUUAAUAUAUGGUGUUUGAUCAAUUUUUGUGCGAUAAAAUAAGUAACUCCAUUCGUUACAAAAUUAGAUAUAUAUGUUUGUUUUAAAAUUAGGGAUACACUUCUAUUUUGAGAUAUAAAAUACCAUUAUAAUGUCCAAUGUACCCUUACAGAGGUUACUUGGAUAGAAUGGUUUGCAAUGAACAUUUCAUUGUCAUUUGUCCCCAUAAUUUGCCCCUUGAGUCCGGUGUUUCUCCUAUGUGUUGGGAUCACAAGUGACAUCCCUAAUGUAUUUUAGGCUUGAUAAGCUGGGGUUGGAUGUGGGUGUGAUUAGUAUAGGUGAGUUAGGCCAUGUAUCUGUCUAUUUCGCUAAAGGCUUCUGGGCAAGUCACCGCCAUUAGAUUAGUUGACUACAUUGAUUAAUUAAUCAGGGUGACCAAAAUUAAAAUGGGUUUAAAAUUUUCAAAAUUUUAACAUCUCUACGAUGCGGAAUUUCUAAUUCAAAAUUUCAUAAAACAUAGCAUGCAUACCUGUAAGCACUUGGAGCGUAAAAUUGAGAACUGCAACUUUCAUUUCCUAUACCUCUCAUACCAAAAGUAGAGUUCUGGAUCUGAAUCUUCGAGAGAGUGAUUACUAUUUAGCUCAGUCUGAAAACUGAGCACUUGAUCACUCACGUCCCACAAAAACAUUCCUUCUUUUGUUAGCAAGUUGCCAAGCCUUUUGACAGAGGAAGAAGAAACCAUGGUGUUUGAUUAUUAUGUGUAAGCUUCGGAGUCUCUCUCUCUUAUAUCAAUUGGAGAUCUAGGGUUAACAUUUCCACAAUUUUUC